AGCAGCCGCGGUAAUUCCAGCUCCAAUAGCGUAUAUUAAAGUUGUUGCAGUUAAAAAGCUCGUAGUUGAAAUUCGGGAUCAAUAUGUUGGUCGUGCCUUGGUACGUACUGGCAUUAUUGGUUCCUACCUUCUGAAGAACCUCGAUGUCAUUAAUUUGGUGUCUUGGGGAAUCAGGACUGUUACUUUGAAAAAAUUAGAGUGUUUAAAGCAGGCUCGCGCUUGAAUACAUUAGCAUGGAAUAAUGAAAUAGGACGUUUGAUUAUAUUUUGUUGGUUUCUAGGAUUGACGUAAUGAUUAAUAGGGAUAGUUGGAGGCAUUAGUAUUCAAUUGUCAGAGGUGAAAUUCUUGGAUUUAUUGAAGACUAACUACUGCGAAAGCAUUUGCCAAGGAUGUUUUCAUUAAUCAAGAACGAAAGUUAGGGGAUCGAAAACGAUCAGAUACCGUCGUAGUCUUAACCAUAAACUAUGCCGACUAGGGAUCGGAUGAUGUUAAUUUUUUAAUGACUCAUUCGGCGCCUUACG
rnacentral:rRNA from 1 species